UGGGGAAUUUUGGACAAUGGGCGAAAGCCUGAUCCAGCAAUGCCGCGUGUGUGAAGAAGGCCUUCGGGUUGUAAAGCACUUUUGUCCGGAAAGAAAUCCUUGGCUCUAAUACAGUCGGGGGAUGACGGUACCGGAAGAAUAAGCACCGGCUAACUACGUGCCAGCAGCCGCGGUAAUACGUAGGGUGCAAGCGUUAAUCGGAAUUACUGGGCGUAAAGCGUGCGCAGGCGGUUUGCUAAGACCGAUGUGAAAUCCCCGGGCUCAACCUGGGAACUGCAUUGGUGACUGGCAGGCUAGAGUAUGGCAGAGGGGGGUAGAAUUCCACGUGUAGCAGUGAAAUGCGUAGAGAUGUGGAGGAAUACCGAUGGCGAAGGCAGCCCCCUGGGCCAAUACUGACGCUCAUGCACGAAAGCGUGGGGAGCAAACAGGAUUAGAUACCCUGGUAGUCCACGCCCUAAACGAUGUCAACUAGUUGUUGGGGGAUUCAUUUCCUUAGUAACGUAGCUAACGCGUGAAGUUGACCGCCUGGGGAGUACGGUCGCAAGAUUAAAACUUAAAGGAAUUGACGGGGU
rnacentral:rRNA from 1 species